rnacentral:rRNA from 1 species
CCUACGGGUGGCAGCAGUGGGGAAUAUUGGACAAUGGGGGGAACCCUGAUCCAGCCAUGCCGCGUGUGUGAAGAAGGCCCUCGGGUUGUAAAGCACUUUCAGUGAGGAAGAACGCCUGGUGGUUAAUACCCAUCAGGAAAGACAUCACUCACAGAAGAAGCACCGGCUAACUCCGUGCCAGCAGCCGCGGUAAUACGGAGGGUGCGAGCGUUAAUCGGAAUUACUGGGCGUAAAGCGCGCGUAGGUGGCUUGAUAAGCCGGUUGUGAAAGCCCCGGGCUCAACCUGGGAACGGCAUCCGGAACUGUCAAGCUAGAGUGCAGGAGAGGAAGGUGGAAUUCCCGGUGUAGCGGUGAAAUGCGUAGAGAUCGGGAGGAAUACCAGUGGCGAAGGCGGCCUUCUGGACUGACACUGACACUGAGGUGCGAAAGCGUGGGUAGCAAACAGGAUUAGAUACCCCUGUAGUC